rfam:Stegodyphus mimosarum contig4426, whole genome shotgun sequence.
AGACCCAAGCAGUGGAUAAAUUUGGCUCACGGUUCAAUGAAGAACACGGAUGGUUGCGAGACUUGGUGUGAAAUGUAGGACACAUUGAGCCCUGAUUUUUCGAAGGCGCAUUGCGGUCGCGGGCGAUAACCGGACCUCACCUGCCUGAGGUUUG